rnacentral:rRNA from 1 species
UGCCAGCCGCCGCGGUAAUACGAAGGGUGCUAGCGUUGCUCGGAAUUACUGGGCGUAAAGCGCGCGUAGGCGGCUUGCCAAGUUGGGGGUGAAAGCCCGGGGCUUAACCCCGGAACUGCCCUCAAAACUGUCGAUCUAGAGACCGGGAGAGGUAAGCGGAAUUCCUAGUGUAGAGGUGAAAUUCGUAGAUAUUAGGAAGAACACCAGUGGCGAAGGCGGCUUACUGGACCGGUACUGACGCUGAGGUACGAAAGCGUGGGGAGCGAACAGGAUUAGAUA